UACGUAGGGGGCUAGCGUUGUCCGGAUUUAUUGGGCGUAAAGAGCUCGUAGCGGUUUGUCGCGUCGGCCGUGAAAACUUGGGGCUUAACUCCAAGCAUGCGGUCGAUACGGGCAGACUUGAGUUCGGCAGGGGAGACUGGAAUUCCUGGUGUAGCGGUGGAAUGCGCAGAUAUCAGGAGGAACACCGGUGGCGAAGGCGGGUCUCUGGGCA
rnacentral:rRNA from 1 species